CGCGUUACUCCGCCACUGCGCCAUCAUAGUCCAGUCACGCUUUUGGUUAGUUCUUUGGUUGACUCAUAGUUAUUGGAUAUUGUUUCUUGUGUUUUGGAUCCUGCCUUCUUGGACUGUGUUGUUGUGCACAACUUUUGUUUGUAAUAAAACCCACUGAACAUCCUGUCCUCAUCCUGGAGUCCUGGAUUUGGGUUUGCCUGUGUACUGUUGAUUCGUGACAGAACGAACUGUCCAGAAUAGGACCCAGCAGGGAAGAUGCGGCGUCGCUGGGCACGUCAAAGGAGACGCCGCCUGCCUGAGGAUCAACCAUAUCUUAUCCGGGUGGGCUCCAUUAUGUCAUCUUCUACCUUGCCUCCCGCACCGCCCGUGUACCAUGAGUACAUCCCAACCACGACCUGCUCAUAUUGUUUUGGAUUCAGAUUUUUCGGAUUAUGAGGAAGACUUAAAUUUAUAUGACCGACUGCCUGAUUCUGACAAUGAAUUUGAACAUUUCCUCCAGGUGAUGAGUCUCGAGGAGUUUGUUUUGUGGUCCUACUAUUCUCGCUCCUGUAUGCCUUCGCCCGAGGAGACGUUCAAUCAGGGUGCCACCUGGCAUCUCCCACGUUGCAGCAACCAAGACAACCAAGCCACAGCGGCAUCCCACUCCAGCGACGGUCGAGCCUGAGCCGACCUCCCCCGGCGCUUCACCGGCGACUGAGCCGUCGCGCUCCAAGUCGUUGAUCUUUGAAUUUGCGGAUCUUAUGGACUGGAUUCAGCGGCAAUUGGACAUUCCCGUCCCAGGAUGGCCACAGCUGUUUCAAGCCCGUGCGGCAGUGACGAGUGACCGGGUGCCGAGCCACACCCACGUCGUGGUAGCAACUGACCCGCUACCAACCCAAGCCCACGUUGCAUUAGCGACAGACUUCCUGGUGAACCACACCCACGUCGUGGUAGCAACCGAUCUGCUACCGAGCUAUGCCCACAUCACGGUGGCGAAUGAAUUCCUGGCGAACUACGAUCACGCCGCGGUAGCAACUGACCCGCUACCAAGCCAAGCGCAAGUCACGGUAGCAAGAGACCCGCUACUGAGCCAAGCCCACGUCGUGGUGGCGACAGAUUUCCUGGUGGACCGCGCUCACGCCGCAGUAGCAUGUGACCUGCUACCAAGCCAAAUCCACAUGGGAACAGAGCAACUGACCCACUGCCACCCCACAUCCACGUCACAGCGGGGAAGGCUUGUCAGCCGCCCCAUGUUCUUGUCCACGCAGCGGCGAAGGCUCAUCAGCGACUGAUCCCCGGCCGCCUCACAACCACAUCCUGGGAGGAUCCUUGCCUGCUCCCGUCUGGUUCUUGCUUCACUUUUGUGUUUCUCCUCAAAAAUGUCCUCCAGAAUCGCCCCGUAAGAACCCUGGUGCUUGGUGUCCUGGCCGACCUCCUGACUUGCUCAGCCGGACGCCUUGUUUAGGGUGGCCUGGAUGGCCACCAGACGAACUGGGGUUGGGGGGUUUCUGUCCCACCCCGGGCCGCUUUCUGCACUCCCCUGGUCAUGUUUUAUUUUUUUUUUUUUGUUUGUUUAGUUUUGUCGUGUCUGGGAUUCGCACCUUAAGGGGGGGUUCUGUCAUGAGCAGGGCUGGACCACAGUCAAAAGGGGUGUAGCCUGGCCACCGGUCCGUGCAGUUUCAUCUCUGACACCUGUUGCCAAUCACAGCUGUGUCACAUGAGGCACUGGGAUUAGACAAUGUAUUUAAGUUGGAGUUUUGUUACAUUGGCCAGUUUGAGUAUGCUUUCCCACAUCCAGGGUUACUCCGCCACUGUGCCAUUAUAGUUCAAUCACAGUUUUGGUUAUGCUCUUUAGUUGACUCAUAGUAAUGGGACAUUGUUUCUUGUGUUGUGGAUCCUACCCUCUUGGACUGUGUUGUCGUGCACAACUUUUGUUUGUAAUAGAACCCACUGAACAUCAUGUCCUCGUCUUGGAGUCCUGCAUUUGGGUCCGCCCAUGCACCGUUGGUUCGUGACACCCGGGUCCUCAGAACAGCGAGGCCAAUGCUUUUCAGCUGCUCCAACGACUUUUUGUAAGGCCAAAUAGGAUGUUGCUAAGGUUAAAUUAAAUACAUAUUGUAUACUAUAUACAAUAUGUAUUUAAUUUGACUGUAUACUAUAUAUAAUAUGCAUUUAAUUGCACCUAAACCGUUGAACCAUGAUCUAACAUUUGGGUUUACAAAAACUUUACAAUUAGAUCAAUACACUGUACACUGUAUGCUGACUUAAGAACUCGGUUUCCCUGUAGAAUGGCCACACAAAAAAAAAAAAAAAGACUACUCAAGCAUUUGGUGGAGCCCAUGGGAGGGAAUAUUGGUUUCUCUGCUAUUAGAAAUGGAGGUCGUAAAACACUGGCCGGUCAGGAUGUCACAAAUCAUUUGACAUGUUUCUCUGUGUGAAUAUGUGACUACGCCUUUGUGUGAGGGUUGCGUGGUUGGAGUGAAAGUUGAUCAACAUUGAAGGAUGAGACUAUUGUUUAGUGUAAUGACAAUUUCAGGACAAAACAUAGAAAGUGCAUUCAUGUCCCAAAAUUUCAGAGAUAAAUUUGUUGUUUGGGAAAAAAUAUUGGAAGAGCAGUUAUAUGAUCAAACUGAAGAUGCUAAGUAAAUGAAAUUAGUCACGAGGUAACUGCUUCUUUCCCACUCAGUCAUUCUUCACUACACCAUCCACCCCACUUCUGCCGCAAUCUCUUGCUCUGGCUGUAUGGCUCAUAUUAAUGGGAUGUCCCUUGUUUGUAAAUGUGCCAAGUUGUGUGCACCACUGCGGGCUGUCUAUUAUAAACAGGCCUUUGGGGGCAGUGUUUCCAUAUGGUGCCACAUAUGGCACGCAGCAGCAUCAAUUAAUGUUGCUAUAAUAGUGAUUUUUAUGAGUUGUGCUUUCACUGCAUUCCGGUCUUCUUUAAGCCUCACCGUUUCCUCCUCCAAGCACUGAAAAUUCUUCAAGAUACCUUUUUUCCUUUGCUCAGGCCCUCAAAAAUUUGGCUCAUGAACAGUAAGGAAUCCAAAAAUGUCUCAUUCCAAAGGCUCUUUCCAGCCUUCCUGUUACAACAUCAAGGACGGUGCA